rnacentral:rRNA from 1 species
GUCUUUUUGAUUAUAAUUUAAAGUCUGACCUGCCCAAUGAGUAGUUAAAUGGCCGCGGUAAUUUGACCGUGCAAAGGUAGCAUAAUCAUUAGUUUUUUAAUUGAAAGCUGGAAUGAAUGGUUGGACGAGAAAAUAACUGUCUCAAUUUAAUUGUAUAUAGAAUUUUAUUUAUAAGUAAAAAAGCUUAUAUAAUUUUAAAAGACGAGAAGACCCUAUAGAGUUUUACAUUUUAUUUUAUUAAUUAAGUUUAGAAUGUUUAUAUUUUUAAUACAAUAAAGUGUUUUGCUGGGGCAGCAGAAAAAUUGAGUAAACUUUUUUUAUUAUAGUAACAUUGAUUUAUGAUUAAAUGAUCCAUUUUUUAUGAUUAUAAGAUUAAAUUACCUUAGGGAUAACAGCGUAAUUUUUUUUUAGAGUUCUUAUCGAAAAAAGAGUUUGCGACCUCGAUGUUGGAUUAAAAUUAACUUUUGGUGUAGGGGCUAAAAGGUUAGGUCUGUUCGACCUUUAAAAUUUUACA